GCUGGAUGCAAAAAAUAUAUGAAGCAUGUUUUAGAAACGUCUAUUGGCAGUAAGUAUUUUACAAAUUAUCUUUUAAUUUAAUUUAAUNCUAUGUAUAUUAGAUACAUACCGUAAUUUUAUGUCCAAAUAAUACAUAUUUGUAUGUCAGAUUCAAAAUUUAUUUUAUAAUUGCUAUAGCUGGAUGCAAAAGAUAUAUGAAGUAUGUUUUAGAAACGUCUAUUGGCA